rnacentral:misc_RNA from 1 species
UGUUUUUUCAUGCCUAAAAUCCCUGAAGAAGAUAAAUAAGUUAGGACAGAAAAUGUCGAGCUCCUUAAGAGUAUGCAUCUAGCCAUGCAUAUAAUUCUAGUUGCAAUAUUCUUACGUUUUCAUAAUAUUCAGACCAUCAAAAGAAGACAUACAAGCAAAGGAAAGCAUAUGCAUAUGUGCACAUCUAUUUUGGAGUCAUACAUAGAAAUGAACAAGGAAAGAAGCUUCUAUCAUAAAUGGAAAAUUCAUUUCAAUCUCACAGAGCUUGUAAAUGGGAAUUCUACAAAAAAAGAAAAAGAAAAAAAGAUCAGAAAGCAAACAACAAUGAGCUUCCAUAGUUAUUAAAGGUGCAAAGGGCUAUUAAAGCUGUGCAUGCCUGAGAGAUCCGGCAAGAAUAAAAAAGCAAAAUCAUAAUUAAGACCUAAUAUUUAUUUAAAAAAAUUUCAAGAUAUUACCAUUGACAAAAGUUAACAAUUUUCAAAGCAUCAAUCCGAAGUUAAAUACCUAAUCACCAAGAAGAAGAGCACAAAAUGAACAUCUUUUGCAUUAAAAUUGAUAAAAUGUUAUUAAAUAUUUUAUAUCGUUAGUGAAGAAGAAGAGCCCCAAAAAGGGGGGGAGUGAAAGGUAUCAAUUUUAGUAAUGUUGUUAGAAUGAGAAAAGAAAUGAAGCCAAUUGGAAGAGAAGAGAGUGAAAUGGAUCAGUUUCAUUACUGUUUUUUGGUAGGAAAAAACAAGAGGAAGAAGAGUAAGAACCAAACUAUUAAGCUCAAUUCUAAAAAAGUCCAAAACCAUAAAUCAAUUAAGAAACAAACCAAAACUACAUAUUAAUUAAGAAACAAACCAAUCAGAAUUUUUUUCAUUUUUGGUUCGGAAAUUAUAGGAAAUUUGAUUAGUUUAGUUUUGGUGACUUUUGAACCAAAUUGAACCAACAAAUGCCCACCCCUAAUUACAACCCAUCAACUCUAGCAAAGUUGGAACUAAUGAAAGCAUAUAUGACGCAACUUGAAAGAAGGGGGAAAAAAUCAUUUCAAUUUUUCCAUUUUAUCAAUUUUUAUAUUUUGAAAGUACAUAAUUGCUAGAUUUCAAUACUUUCACUUAAAAAAAGUCACUUUGAAAGAAAUGGAACCAUAAAAAAUUGGUGUGAUCUUAUAAGAAUUCAAUUAAUUCAAUGUCUUACUAUUAAAAACCCAAAACAACCUUAACUAAUUUAAAUGUAUUUUAGUAGGUAAGGGUACAAUAGGAAAGUAAAUACAUUGAUUUUACAUUUCAAUUGUUCCGAACAAUAAUACUCAAAUGAAUUCUAUCACUUUAACUUGUUCAAAACAAAUGAAUUCUAUUAUAAAAUCAUUUGAAUUGAACUCUAUUGUGAGAAUUAAACUGAAUUCUACCAUACAAAUUGUUCCAAACAGGAUGAUAAUAAAUAAUAGUUUCACAAAGUACACAUCCACAGACAGGAAAUUGUUUCGCUAUCAAAAUUUUUUUGGAGCAAAAAUUAGUUCCAAAAAAGUAGCUCCAAAUGUAUCUUGAUGUACUCUGGUCUAGUCUUUAUUUGGUCUUUCAAAUAACCACUUUAAAAUCAAAUUUUGAAUUUUGAAUUAUCUAUUUGAGCUAAAAAUAAUAGAUGUUGACGCAGUAUAAGUUGAGCAACCUGCCUACUAGAGUUCUUGUGGUGGUGGAUCAACUCAAUAUAUUGAUGGAGUUUAGAGUUUAUGACUAUGAUAAUAAGAUUAGGAAUUGAAUUUGGAAAAAAUUUAGGCUUUAUUUUGUCAGGAUUGGAUCAUAAAGGGCUGGAAUAGAAGUUACAGGUUGCUGGAUUUUUCUAGCAGGAGAGAAAGAGAACGAAGAGAUUUAGUAAGUGCAGAAGUAAAAAGGAGAAGAGAAAUAGUAAUCACAGACUACACGCAUAAAUGCAUAUGCCUUCCAAACCAAAUAAAAAAAUUCCAUAUUCAAAGGCCUAAGAAAAUAAUUAGGUGCAUCAUAGAGAUUCUAGUUUUUCCUAUCAAAAAAUAGCAAUCCCAUAUGGAAAAAUUCAAUUAAAUGGUAAAUGGGAA